GAUGAACGCUGGCGGCGUGCCUAAUACAUGCAAGUCGAGCGAACAGACGAGGAGCUUGCUCCUCUGACGUUAGCGGCGGACGGGUGAGUAACACGUGGAUAACCUACCUAUAAGACUGGGAUAACUUCGGGAAACCGGAGCUAAUACCGGAUAAUAUAUUGAACCGCAUGGGUCAAUAGUGAAAGACGGUUUUGCUGUCACUUAUAGAGGGAUCCGCGCCGCAUUAGCUAGUUGGGAAGGUAACGGCUUACCAAGGCAACGAUGCGUAGCCGACCUGAGAGGGUGAUCGGCCACACUGGAACUGAGACACGGUCCAGACUCCUACGGGAGGCAGCAGUAGGGAAUCUUCCGCAAUGGGCGAAAGCCUGACGGAGCAACGCCGCGUGAGUGAUGAAGGUCUUCGGAUCGUAAAACUCUGUUAUUAGGGAAGAACAAAUGUGUAAGUAACUAUGCACGUCUUGACGGUACCUAAUCAGAAAGCAACGGCUAACUACGUG
rnacentral:rRNA from 1 species